CCCCAGGUCAGGCAGGAUUACCCGCUGAAUUUAAGCAUAUCAAUAAGCGGAGGAGAAGAAACUUACAAGGAUUCCCCUAGUAACGGCGAGCGAACCGGGAUCAGCCCAGCUUGGGAAUCGGAGGCUAUGUUGUCCGAAUUGUAGUCUGUAGAAGCGUCCUCAA
rnacentral:rRNA from 1 species